rnacentral:lncRNA from 1 species
GUCCCUUUGCGGAGUACAUUGGUAAUCGUAGCAGACGUGUGCUUGGCAGAUUUUUCGGAGGAAUUGUUCAAGAAAGGCUCAUUCUGCACUGUAGUUAAAAAAAUUGUCUCCAGUUGACGAGAUACCGAUAGUAGAGGAUGUAAUAAUUUCUGCUGCCGAUAAUGAGCUUGAUAGGCAAAGAUGUCGAUGGAGAUAUAUUCGAGAAGUAGUAACUCACCGAAAUUCUACCAAGCCUACCAAUGACUAUAGAAUUAGCUAUUUGGUGAGAAAAACUGAACAAUGGCUAAAAGACAAUGAAUAUAUUAUCACCAGAGGUGAUAAAUCAAAACGAAUGGUUUUAAUGGAGAAGUAAGCGUACGAUACCUAUCUUCUGGACUAUAUAGUGUCAACACAACUUAGAGUUUUGAAGAAAAUACCUAACCUUUCAGUUCAAGGCCUCCUUAGACAAAUUAACUUCUAACAGACUCUUUCCCCAAGAAUGGAAGCAUGCGAAAAUACAAGCACCAAUGUGCCCUCGGCUAUUCGCAUAUAUGAAGACACACAAACAGCCGGUUAAGCCUCGACCCAUAGUUGGAAAAAGAAGUGCUCCUACUUUUAAUUUAGAGAAAGCUAUAGCCCGUUGGUGUUUGACUAUAUUGGGUCAGAAUGAGAAUUCCACCACCGUUACAGACGAAGCCUUGAAUAGGAUUAGAAUGAUAACAUGGCAACCCCACUAUAUUAUGGCUGUGUUUGACU